rnacentral:rRNA from 1 species
AUUGAACGCUGGCGGCAUGCCUUACACAUGCAAGUCGAACGGUAACGGGCCUUCGGGUGCCGACGAGUGGCGAACGGGUGAGUAAUGUAUCGGAACGUACCUUUCAGUGGGGGAUAACGUAGCGAAAGUUACGCUAAUACCGCAUAUUCUGUGAGCAGGAAAGCAGGGGAUCGCAAGACCUUGCGCUGAUUGAGCGGCCGAUAUCAGAUUAGCUAGUUGGUGAGGUAAAGGCUCACCAAGGCGACGAUCUGUAGCGGGUCUGAGAGGAUGAUCCGCCAAACUGGAACUGAGACACGGUCCAGCCUCCUACGGGAGGCAGCAGUGGGGAAUUUUGGACGAUGGGGGCAACCCUGAUCCAGCCAUGCCGCGUGAGUGAAGAGGGCCUUCGGGUUGUAAAGCUCUUUCGGCCGGGAAGAAAUCGUAUCAGCUAAUACCUGGUGCGGAUGACGGUACCGGCAUAAGAAGCACCGGCUAACUACGUGCCAGCAGCCGCCGUAACAC